UUUUUAGGAAAAAAAAAAUCCACAAAACCCUUUCCACAUGCACUUCCACUAAAUUAAGAAGGGAGAAUGACAGAAUUAUAUCACAGGGUUGGAGAAAUAUUGUUUGGGAGGAACAUCAGAGUGUCACGUUGUGCGGCUGCCCCAUCAAAGCAUUACCAUCGCCAGAACUGAGCUGUGUCAGCCAUUGGUUUGUUAAGCCAGAUCUUGAAAACUUCCCAGAAAGUCCACAUCAUCCACCGGUUGCACCAAGCUCUUUGCAAAGUCUCUUCCAAUGCCCCACCUGGCCAUUGCCUCUUUUGCCAUUUGCCACAGCUGAGAAGAGAUUGUCACUGUAUUUUUAUCUGUUCUUCAGAAAUCUGUAAGCUAUUAUUAGGUUUCUCCUUAACCUUAUCUUUACGAGACUAUGCUGUCUCAACUUCUCUUCCUGACACAUAUACUGUAGUCCUCUGAAUACAUCUUCUGUUUUCUAACAUAAGGAUAAUUCUCAAAAUGUUGCUGUGAUUUUUUUUUUUACUGUAAAAACUGCCAAUAACUUGAGUAAAGUAAAUAUCUGAGAUGAGAUAUAAGAGUUUAACAUUAAGGCCUAUAGAGUACACUGAAAUAUUUGAAGAAGUCUAAUUUUAAUGAGUCUACAAUUACCACAUUUUAGUGAACACUUAAAAUUAGAUUGUCUGUUUUUAUAAUGUGAAGUGGUCAAACAGCAUAAAAGAUUGUUAGUAGAAUACAAAGCAAAAGAGAUAUUAUAUAGAAAAUGUUCAGAUCAACACAAAUCCCAAGCCUCUGUCCCAGCAGGACAUUAUGAGAAGAUUUCAGUUUUAUCAGCUUGUAUACAGCAACAUGGAAGCCACUGGGAAUAUUAUAGUAAUUCUACAAAUGUUUAAUUUGGUAGACAAUAAAUAAAUUGUUAUUUGGUUGCUUUUACAAUUGGAAGGGGGAAAACUUAAAAUGGAACUUGCUACAAGUUAUGCUGUUUCUGUAAUUUCACAGUAGGACAAUCAUAGACCACUUAAAACCAUAAAUGUGUAGAACUUCUCAGUGCUUCUAAAGCAUGUAUCAGUCACUGAAGCCUUAUGAUACUGAAGGUAAUGUAAAACUGUAAACAGCAUAUGCUGAGCUUCUGUAUUGUACAGAAAAUUCUGUGUUGUAUAUUGUCUUCUGUUUCAGAAAACCAUUGUAAGACAUUCAGCUGUAAUCAGCAAAGUAUGAGAUUACUGCAAAAUUCCUGCAGAUUCCAAAAAAUUAUGAACCCAUCCUUAUAUGUACUCAAGACAAAGUAUCUGGAGUCUUUAGCAUUACAACACAUAAAAAAAACCCACACAUGUGCUUGAGGUUUAACGUUGAUGCUUUCACAUUCCAAUCUUAUAAACUCCAAAUUUCCUUAUAACCCUGGUGAGGCUAUCUAAGCCUCUAAGGAUAAAUAGAAGGCUAGUAAACAUCAAAUUUGAUCUAGUAAUUUUAGAAGUACUUUGCGGAAAAUAUCCCAAGAGAUCAGGAGACAUCCAUGUGAUAUAAUUUCUUACUAUGCUGGGGAAGAUGUGAGUCUAAUUCAGGUAAGGAACAGAACUGAAUCUGAGUCUCACCCAUCCCAUAUAACUAUUACAGGACUGAGAAAAUAUGUGCCUUCACUACUUCCAGGUAAAUGAUAAGCAGUUUUGGCAGCUAACAGACAUACUGAAUACUGAAUUUAACUUAGCAUAAGGUAUUGAGUGUAUCUCAGCAUUUAGAAAUGCAUCAUUUGCCUUGCUAGCCUUUGUAAGUCUAUUUCUUGUGACCUUCAAUGCCUAACCCUAAAUAUGGAUUCUGCUAAAUGCUCAGUACCACAGCUACUGGGAUUGGUCCACCCCCUUCACAUAGCUCUUCACCAAUUUUGGAGAAAACUCCUCAAGUACCCCUACUCACCACAGAAAAAAAGUCAGACCCAUGUUAUCAGAAUAAUAACAGAUUUAAUUGCCUUCUCCAAGUGAGAUCAACAGAAGACUACCCAACAGAUACUGCUAAACUGCUAGUUAAAUGACACACUUCUGCUUACAUUCCCUUUUUCAUCCUUUUCAACUUCUCUUUUUUUUCCCUUUACCACUGUCAUCCACUCCCAAAUAAACAGGGUUUUUAUAUUUACUCUUUCCUGUUGUCCCUAAUUUUAUAACUCCUCAGCAUUUCUGAUCUUUGCACUGGUAAUUUUUACUUAAUUCCUUCAAGUUAGUGACCCACUCCUGUUAUCAAUCAUAGUCCUCUUUCCUACUCCUUCUUGUGUUGCUAUCUUGUUAAUGUAGCCUUAUCAGAAUCAGAUGUCUACAUAUGUAUUACCCCCCUUUUGUUCAUUGUAGGACUCUAAUCUCUUGUGGUGUUGUUUUGUUAGUGUAGCUGCAUGGCAGGGCUGCCCACCUGUGUGCAUACACUUACAGGGGUUAGGCUGGUCUGCAUGAUGAAUCUUGUACAAUUUAGAUGCAUUCCUUACUGCAGUAGAAGAUUAAUCCCUAUUGCAUGAACAGAAUUCUUAUCUCUCAUUCUUGGUCAGCACACCAGGAAUAUUGACUUCAUACCAGCUCGUAGACAUGGAAUGUCAGUGCACACAUUAUCAGGAAGUUUCUAAGAGAGACAAGAAGAACUUAUAUACAAGUUGGAAUGAUAUACUGAAAUCAACAUUAAGUUGAUUUUCCAUAUGGAGGCAGAGUACUAAAUCAUAUAUAACAGAAGAUCAUAUUCAAAAUUCAUUGUCUUUGCUUCUAAAUCUACUCCAGAUUUCCCCAGAUUGACAUAAAAGCUCUUAGAUCAGUUUGGGGACUUAAAAAAAAACCCAACUAAGGCUUGUGUUUGGUUACAAAUAAUGAGUCUCUUGUUUCCUUGUUUGCUUUUUGUUUUGGGUUGUUGUUGUUGUAGUUGUUGUUUUUCUUUUAACAAAUAAAUAAAACAUAAUCAUAGAAAAAUUUUAGCAGCUGUCUCUGUCCUCAUUGAACUCCCUCAUCUUGGGAAAUUACUGCUGCUGACUGUGGCCCCUCACCAUUUUAUGCUUGCAUUCAUUUAAGCAUUGAGACAGUCACCCUGAGACACCUUCCCUGAAUGCUGGAAUGCCUUUCAGAAGACAGUCCUGAUGCUUAGCUCCACUGGUAGAAUAUAUAUAUAUAUGUGUCAUACAUAUGUGUAUAUUUUUCUGUAGCAGAUGAGUAAUGUAAAUGGUUUAAAUUAUUCCACAUGAAUCCAUCUAAUUCAGGCCAUAUGGUGAAUUCUUAAGAUUCUUGUCUUCAAGGACAUAAAGCUUCUGAACAGAUUGUUCGUGACAGGAGAAAGAAAUUAAUUUUCAAAUAGUUUUUAUUAUUUGCCAGAAGAAAUUAUAUCAAACAUGUCAUGCCAGUUUUUUAUUGUCCUGCCACAGAAGGGCUGACAGAAAGAUCUACCCAGUCAUUUCAAGCAAACUCUACCAUUGGUGAAGCUCUUCUGAGAUCACUUGUACUACCUUGUGGUUUGACCAGUAAUACAUGUGUCUUCAAAGUGACAAUUCACAUGCUUAAAUGUUGACACUUUUGCUGAACUGCAUCUUUCUGUGACUACAUUAUUCAUGAUUAGUGCAAGAAUCAUAAGAAUAAAAUCAUAAAUGACUAAGUAAAUGAACACGUGAAUAAAAUUCAUGUACUUCAAAUAAAAUAAUAAUCUAUAGAGUCUCUCAUUAUGUCUACAUGACCAUUUCAUUAACCUCUUGAAGGACAGGUACUUUUAUGAUUAAAAGUAGAGUUUUACUGAUUAUAAGUUAUGAAUUGAUGUACCUGUAUUUAUGAUCGUUCCAGUAUUAUAUAUUUUAUCACUUAUAUUAAAACCAGAAAGGAACCAUCUAGCCCUGAGGCAUCAAACUGCUUGAAUUAACUCUAAAGGAAACCACAGUCUUAUAUAUGAUAUAAUUCUUUCAAACACUAAAAGAUGUAGCCCUACACCAUCACUAAAACAGUAUAUCAAGAGGCAUAAAGUCACUCCUCUGCAGAGGCCUCUUCAUGCUGGUUCUGUCUGCAGUGGGAGGCCGUGCUGCAAUGAGCUUGCUCCCUCUCACUGGGGUACUCUAAAUAUCAAAUUAACUUCUGUAAGGAUGAUUUUACUUCUCAUCACCUUUUAUCAUGAAAUAUAUGCUUUUAUAGUUUAAGAGGAUCCAGCCCUUGGCUGAAAAGUGAAGUUCAGAAGAAGGAAGACUCAAGUAGGUAUCGCAGGCUAUGGCUGCAUUGUGGGUAUGGGAGCCCUGCCCAGCCCUCAUGCUGUCCCAGGUGCCCUCCAGGAUUUCUGACUCCCCGCCAGGAUAGCACAAAUUCCCUGCAUUUGAAUAUCCUGAUUUCUGCAGGGACUGGCCAGAAGGGAGCUGCCAAUUGCCCUGGCGAGUACCAAGUACCGGACCCAACACGUCAGGGAUCUUGAUGGCACAUCAGGAUCAUCUGGCCUGAAGGCUGAAUAAAUUAUUCCCUCCCAUUUCUGUGUUCCCCUUACCGAGGAAUUUAGGUACAUAAAUGACUCUUCUCUAUUCUGGAAAGACUAUAGGUAUCAAAUAGCUGAACUGGUUUUCUGUAAAAACAUUCCCUCAUCCCUUUUUCAAUGUGCAUCCCUUUGCACAAUGUAAAGGACUGCUGGGACGCAAAAGGAAGGUAGCUAAUGUGUCAUGCAGGUGGAAGGAACUAAAGAAUGUUACCUGAUUCAUAGCAGAAAAUUCAAAAUUAUUUGUUUGAUUUUAAAUUGUCAAAAUAUUUGGUUAAAUGCUUGUGUCUCUUUGUUUUCUUGAUGUAUACAAUUUAUUUUCUUUGUUUUUAGUGGAAAAUAGCUGUUAAAUAACCACUGGUUUCUAUAGGCAAAAAAAAGUUUGGGAACAAAUUUCAGGGAAAAGUUGAGAAAAAAAAUCAAGCAUGGUCUUUAAAAAAAAUACAAUAUAUAAUAAUAUUAUUUUAAAGAAAAAUGAACCCAAACAACUGAUCGCCUCUCCUGAGACAUGAAUCUCACUGAGAAGAUUAAGUUCUUUUUUUUUAAUAAGCAUAUUUAUAAUUACAAUAUUUGAGCAUGGCUCAUUUCAUAAAAGCAAACAUAGAAACCAAUCAUUAAAAUUCAGUCUCUCUCGACAAAACCCAUGCCUGGAAAAUUAUAAUCUACUGUAGAAUAAUUUUGUAGACAGAAUAUAAUAUAAUGUCAGGAAUGCAAUUAUUGUUACAAUAACUCUUUACAGAAGAAUUUUAAAGACCAGUAAUUUUGUCAGUAGCUACUAUGUUCCCUGCCUGAUAAAAAAUUCAGGUUCAGAAAUAUAAAAAAUGGCAUAUAUAUAUAUAUAUAUAUAUAUAUAUAUAUAUAUAUGUAUGUAUGUAUGUAUGUAUAUAUAAUUAUUCAUCUUGAAGUUGCAACAGAAGUGGUACUUAGCAGCUGUUUGUACUCUUUGGUAGUAGAAAUUGUUGGAAAGUGCAUUUAAUGCAGAUAGCUAGAUUGAUUUGUCAUUCUAAAUAUCUUGACUGUAUUUUUUUAAUCUUUGCAGUAAUUAUAUGAACUAAAUGACAAACUGAUAUAAAAAUAAUGCUUAAGGCAGAACUAAAUAACCAAUUAAAUCUAGUUCAAGGAGUUAAAAUUUGUUUACAAAAUAUAACUGUUUUCUAAUUCAGAAUUAUUUUGCUAUCUAUUCAUCCCUCCAGUAAAGAGGUACUGGGCAUUGAAUCUAGGUAUUGAAUUCUGCUCUGUUGCUUUCACAAUUGUUCCUUAAUGCAAAACAUAUGAAAAUACACUCUUAUCUUGCAGGAGAUUAACAAAAAAAAAUAUAACAAAAGGCAAAAACAGUAAUUUGUGUAGCAAUUUCAUUUUGCUGAGCAGAGCAGAAUGGAUUUGCUCCAAAAUGCUUUAUAAUUUGUGGUAUGUUUCACAAGAGUAGUAUGUAUCACCUUAACUAUAUAAUACGUAAUUAUGUUGUAUUGUGAUGUUGUAACUGCCAGCUUUUACAUAACACCCAGUUUGUUGAGCGUGUUGCUCCAAGUCAUAAAUUACUGGUGCUAAAAAAAUUAAAAAAUUAAUUUUUGAAUAUUAGCAGAGCAGAACACCUACCAAAAUUGUUUUUUUUUUUCUUUUUUCUUUUCUUCUACUGAGGAAAUGGCAUAGCAGGAACCAAUCUAAUGCUUAUGCAGAACAGCAUCUAUUUUUAGUAAAGCAGUUUUCACUAGAUAUAAUCUGGGCAUUCUGAAUAGAAUAUUUCAACCAUUUCAAAUUUAUCUCCUCCCAGUUAUGGAAUAAAGCCUAUAGUGUAUGUGACAAAGGUGAUUUUCUAACUUUAGGAUAUGAUCUUGAUUUUGAUCUGUUGUUGCAAUGUCACAAGUUAUAAGUGACUCUUGUAUAAGUAAACAAACAGGAUAUUCAUUUCUGUAUCCUAUACAGCAAGAAUACACAAAGAUAAGUCAAGUGGCCCACAUGAAUGAAGAAUCAUAUAAGUUGUUUCAUUAGGGUAGGGUGGCCCCAAUUUUCUAUGCAUGGAGGAGGCAUCCCAGCAAAGCAUAGUAUUUUCAUCUACAUUGUGUUAAUGUUCUAUGUAUUCCACACCCGUUUCUUCCAUACAGAAAUAUAGUACAAAAGAUAGUAAAAAAGGAGUGAUUAAUGUUUGUCCAUUGCGGGUUCAGCCUAUUAACUUAUCUGUUUAUUUGCCUGUAUACACAGAUUUUUCAAAUGAAGCCUGUGAAAGUAGUAUCUAAGCAACAGACUGAACAUUUCAGCUUUGUCCUGAGGACUCUAUUCAGCAUUUAGAAUGGAACAUAAAUGCAGACAGGUUGUAAUAGCUAUGGGGAAAUUAACCACUGUGUUAUCUUACUGGGUUUGUGCUAAGCAGCUGUAAGCAGUGUGUUAUUUAAAUGGCCACUAUUUCCACCUUGAGACAGCACUCUCCCUGUUGUUACCACUAAAGAAAUUACCCCAGAGAUGCUAAUCUAAAGAAGUGCUAGGAGAAAGAUAAUACUAGAAGCAAAAUAACCCAGGGGAAAUUUUUUUUUUGAAAAAUCAGUGUUAUACUUUGUUAUAGUCGCUGCAUGUGGUUGCAGGCAUAUGUGAGAUUUAGCAGGAUUUACUUUUCAGAUGGUCAAAGAAGGCUAACAAGUUUUGAGAGUUUAGGAUAUUAUUUUAAUUACUUUAUAUAUUUCAAAGAGUUGCUGUAUUUUUUUCACCUGUAACUCAGUGCUUCUUAGAAGCCUUCUCACAAUUUCUAUUUUAUUGUGCCAUUCCUCACCAAAAUCUGAGACAGCAUGGUCCUCAAUACUAUGGCAAAUUUGUCUUUCCUACAUAGAAGGGUUAUGUAGGAAAAAAGGAGAACUUUCAGCAAGCCAUCUGUAGUGAGAAAGUUUAUUGGAUGAUCCAUCUUGAACUUUUACCAAUUUUGAUAAAUACAGGGAAAAUUUUUGAAAGAAGACUUGAAAAGAACUAUCAGCCUGAUAUGUGAGUGUUUUCUGUUGUUGAAUUCCAUUUCCACUGUUUUUGAAAAGAAUAAAAACCUUGCAGCAAUUAAGCAAGCAGCAAUAAAAAUUCCCCAUUUGUAGAUCUCAUCUGUAUUAGAAAAGUCAUACUGAUUGUAUUGCAACUGAUAGUACUUCCACAUUUUUUGCUACAAAAUGCAAGGACAUCAGAUUUGAAUAUAUUCAGUUUAGAGAAGGACUGGAAUAUUGUAUUCAAAACCUGGCCUGAAAAUUUACAAUAUUAAAGGUGAGGGCAUGAACUUAUUGGCUUAAAGUAAGAAUUUCUUCUACAAACAAUGGGCUUUUCUGAUGAAAAUGAGAGAGAAGUAUAGUUGUAAUUGCUUUCAUGUUAAAUAACUCAUUGCAUGCCACCAGAUAAGAUGCCAAUGUCUUGUUGCUGUGAAAAGGAAAUGGAAGAUUUAUCUAUGAGAGGGGUCUAAAAGAAUUGAUGUGAUGUGUUCAUCCAUAUUUGCAAGCAACAGUAAUUGAUGUCCUGGAAAUUUUCACCUGAUAAAUUCCAAGUCACUAAUUGACUCUGGGACAGUGGUAAUUCUCUGGAUUCUAUUUUAGCCUUUAAGAUACAAAAUCUUACUUUCUACAUAUACAUAUACAUAUACUGUGAAGAACAGUACAGAUGUACAAAUACACUUCUGAAUAGAAUGUAGCUUGUUCAAAGUUUUCAGAGAGAAAAAGAAUGACCAAAAUUUGUCACUUGUGUGCAGGCUUAUACAUAGAAAUAUAUUUUACAAAGCACAGAUACAUAAAGAUAGAUAAGAUAAUAAGAUUUGAAAAUUUAAUCUUGAACUUCUUGGCAAAGGUCCGCAUAUUUACUGUUCUGAAUAAUAUCUUUUUAUAUAUUGACAAAGUUGGAUUAUAGCUAUACUCUCUUGCAAUAAUUAAUUCUUUUAUAGAAAAGGUUUGAUUCAGAAUUAUUGCUCAUCCAUGGCUGUCCUCUUAUUCCCAGGUUAAUGAAAACUGUUUUAGUUUCAAAUAUGCAAAAUAAAUGCUUUA
rnacentral:lncRNA from 1 species